rnacentral:rRNA from 1 species
GGGAAACUCACCAGGUCCAGACACAAUAAGGAUUGACAGAUUGAUAGCUCUUUCUUGAUCUUGUGGUUGGUGGUGCAUGGCCGUUCUUAGUUGGUGGAGUGAUUUGUCUUGUUAAUUCCGAUAACGAACGAGACCUUAACCUGCUAAAUAGACCAGCCGGCUUUGGCUAGCUGCUGUCUUCUUAGAGGGACUAUCAGCGUUUAGCUGAUGGAAGUUUGAGGCAAUAA